rnacentral:rRNA from 1 species
CCUACGGGAGGCAGCAGUGAGGAAUAUUGGUCAAUGGGCUUACGCCUGAACCAGCCAAGUCGCGUGAGGGAAGACUGCCCUAUGGGUUGUAAACCUCUUUUGUCAGGGAGCAAUUGGCGCUACGUGUAGCGUUCUCGAGAGUACCUGAAGAAAAAGCAUCGGCUACCUCCGUGCCAGCAGCCGCGGUAAUCCGGAGGAUGCGAGCGUUCUCCGGAUUUAUUGGGUUUAAAGGGUGCGUAGGCGGACUGUUAGGUCAGCGGUAAAAGCCCGGGGAUAAACCCCGGCGAGCCGUUGAAACUGGCGGGCUUGAGAGGGCGAGAGGUAGGCGGAAUGCGCAGUGUAGCGGUGAAAUGCUGAGAUAUUGCGCAGAACUCCGAUUGCGAAGGCAGCAUACCGGCGGCGAUCUGACGCUGAGGCACGAAAGCGUGGGUAUCGAACAGGAUUAGAUACCCUGGUAGUC